rnacentral:lncRNA from 1 species
CAAAAUUUCCUUAUUGAGGCCAAGUUGUUCUGACCCUUGAUAUCAUUUAGGCGCUGACAAAUUAGACUGUUUGGCUUUGCUAAAACCCAAAGUGAGUAGCUGUUGUAGUUGUUAUGUACUGAAGUUCUCACCCUGGGCCAGCAGGGGGAUACUGUAGAUAGUUAUGCAAAUAAGGGAUCGAAAGUGACGUUCAGUGAUUGGAUAGUUUUAGAAAGUUGUUACAGUUACGUUGUACUGGAGCUCUAUAUAAGCAGGCUGACUGAACCCUUCAGUUCAGUUCUGUCCUGGCCUGUGAAUAAACAAGAGCUGUUUGAAGAAUUGCUGUGUUGUCUGAUAUGUUCACCCACAACUUAACAGUAGUGAUAAACCACAAGUGAAGUUUUUGAUAGACAAUUUUAGUCCAGGAGCUCUAUUUAGAUUAAUAGCAGGCUGUGUCCUGAAGUUAAACAGUGAUGUGCCUCAUAACAUUUGCAAGGCACAGAGGUGAGUAUGGAUACACUUGAGCCAAAUUUCAGCAAGCCUUUGGCUGGUUUGAACCCAAGUCUCUGAAAUUCAAGGCCGCAACUGCUGAACAAGUUAACAGAGGACUCAAGUGAGGUGUGGUAGAACAUCUGCUUUUCAUGCAGAAGGUUCCAGAUCCAUUCUCCGACACCUCCAGGCAGGACAGGGAAUAUUCAUUGCCUGAAACCCUGAAGUCAUUGCCUGUCAGUGUAAACACUGAGCUUGGUGGACCAAUGGCUUGACUCAGUAAGGCAGCUCCCUAUAUUUCUAUGAUGGGUACUGAGAAAAAAGGAGGAGAUACAGUGGUUCCUCGGGUUAAGUACUUAAUUCAUUCUGGAGGUACCACUGUAGUUUGUGCAAACAUGUACCAACAAAAACUAAAUUGGAUGGAACCAGAAACAAGAUGGUCAAGGGUACUUGUGCAUGCAGUAGAACUAAUAUCUGCAUUGGAUAUCCUUAAAUUAAAUUUUCAACAGCCUCUCUCUCUCUCCAUAAUCAUUGAGACUCUCAGCCUCUCAG